rnacentral:rRNA from 1 species
UGAGGAAUCUUCCACAAUGGGGGCAACCCUGAUGGAGCAACGCCGCGUGCAGGAUGAAGGCCUUCGGGUUGUAAACUGCUUUUAUUAGUGAGGAAUAUGACGGUAACUAAUGAAUAAGGAUCGGCUAACUACGUGCCAGCAGCCGCGGUCAUACGUAGGAUCCGAGCGUUAUCCGGAGUGACUGGGCGUAAAGAGUUGCGUAGGUGGUUAGUAAAGCGAAUAGUGAAAUCUGGUGGCUCAACCAUACAGGCUAUUAUUCGAACUCACUAACUCGAGAGUGGUAGAGGUAACUGGAAUUUCUUGUGUAGGAGUGAAAUCCGUAGAUAUAAGAAGGAACACCAAUGGCGUAGGCAGGUUACUGGACCAUUUCUGACACUGAGGCACGAAAGCGUGGGGAGCGAACCGG